rnacentral:lncRNA from 1 species
CCCAAGUGAUUACUCGGCUAUUUUCUUUCUCAGGUGCAGACAUUUCUCCUUCAUCUCUUUUUAUGUUCCAUGGAUCUCUAUGCAUCAAAAUCAAUCUCUUGGUUUUGGAAUUGGUUUGAUUAGAUCUUGUGGUUAUCUUCUAUGAUUUGGUUUUCAAUGGAAAUGCAUUUUUUGGUCAGAUUAUAUAGAUCUAGAAUCCAACCUCAAUGUUCCUAAAAUAUUCUACACCAACAUUUUUUGCUUGAUAGGUCUACAUCCCAUCUCACAUUCUCCACCAAAAAUAAGGAUUUUCUUUCCUGUUAUCCUUUUUCCUAUUAUGGGACGAGAACC